CCUGGCUCAGGAUGAACGCUAGCUACAGGCUUAACACAUGCAAGUCGAGGGGCAGCAUGGUCUUAGCUUGCUAAGGCCGAUGGCGACCGGCGCACGGGUGAGUAACACGUAUCCAACCUGCCGUCUACUCUUGGACAGCCUUCUGAAAGGAAGAUUAAUACAAGAUGGCAUCAUGAGUCCGCAUGUUCACAUGAUUAAAGGUAUUCCGGUAGACGAUGGGGAUGCGUUCCAUUAGAUAGUAGGCGGGGUAACGGCCCACCUAGUCUUCGAUGGAUAGGGGUUCUGAGAGGAAGGUCCCCCACAUUGGAACUGAGACACGGUCCAAACUCCUACGGGAGGCAGCAGUGAGGAAUAUUGGUCAAUGGGCGAGAGCCUGAACCAGCCAAGUAGCGUGAAGGAUGACUGCCCUAUGGGUUGUAAACUUCUUUUAUAAAGGAAUAAAGUCGGGUAUGGAUACCCGUUUGCAUGUACUUUAUGAAUAAGGAUCGGCUAACUCCGUGCCAGCAGCCGCGGUAAUACGGAGGAUCCGAGCGUUAUCCGGAUUUAUUGGGUUUAAAGGGAGCGUAGAUGGAUGUUUAAGUCAGUUGUGAAAGUUUGCGGCUCAACCGUAAAAUUGCAGUUGAUACUGGAUAUCUUGAGUGCAGUUGAGGCAGGCGGAAUUCGUGGUGUAGCGGUGAAAUGCUUAGAUAUCACGAAGAACUCCGAUUGCGAAGGCAGCCUGCUAAGCUGCAACUGACAUUGAGGCUCGAAAGUGUGGGUAUCAAACAGGAUUAGAUACCCUGGUAGUCCACACGGUAAACGAUGAAUACUCGCUGUUUGCGAUAUACAGCAAGCGGCCAAGCGAAAGCGUUAAGUAUUCCACCUGGGGAGUACGCCGGCAACGGUGAAACUCAAAGGAAUUGACGGGGGCCCGCACAAGCGGAGGAACAUGUGGUUUAAUUCGAUGAUACGCGAGGAACCUUACCCGGGCUUAAAUUGCAGAUGAAUUACGGUGAAAGCCGUAAGCCGCAAGGCAUCUGUGAAGGUGCUGCAUGGUUGUCGUCAGCUCGUGCCGUGAGGUGUCGGCUUAAGUGCCAUAACGAGCGCAACCCUUGUUGUCAGUUACUAACAGGUUCCGCUGAGGACUCUGACAAGACUGCCAUCGUAAGAUGUGAGGAAGGUGGGGAUGACGUCAAAUCAGCACGGCCCUUACGUCCGGGGCUACACACGUGUUACAAUGGGGGGUACAGAGGGCCGCUACCACGCGAGUGGAUGCCAAUCCCAAAAACCUCUCUCAGUUCGGACUGGAGUCUGCAACCCGACUCCACGAAGCUGGAUUCGCUAGUAAUCGCGCAUCAGCCACGGCGCGGUGAAUACGUUCCCGGGCCUUGUACACACCGCC
rnacentral:rRNA from 1 species